AAUGGGGGCAACCCUGAUCUAGCCAUGCCGCGUGAGUGAUGAAGGCCUUAGGGUCGUAAAGCUCUUUCGCCUGUGAUGAUAAUGACAGUAGCAGGUAAAGAAACCCCGGCUAACUCCAUGCCAGCGGCCGCGGUAAUACGGAGGGGGUUAGCGUUGUUCGGAAUUACUGGGCGUAAAGCGCGCGUAGGCGGAUUAGAAAGUUGGGGGUGAAAUCCCGGGGCUCAACCCCGGAACUGCCUCCAAAACUGCUAGUCUAGAGUUCGAGAGAGGUGAGUGGAAUUCCGAGUGUAGAGGUGAAAUUCGUAGAUAUUCGGAGGAACACCAGUGGCGAAGGCGGCUCACUGGCUCGAUACUGACGCUGAGGUGCGAAAGUGUGGGGAGCAAACAGGAUU
rnacentral:rRNA from 1 species